rnacentral:rRNA from 1 species
AAGCCUCAAGUUAUGUGUGACAACCCCCUGAA